GACGAACGCUGGCGGCGUGCUUAACACAUGCAAGUCGAACGAUGAAGCCGGAGCUUGCUCUGGUGAAUUAGUGGCGAACGGGUGAGUAACACGUGAGUAACCUGCCCUUGACUCUGGGAUAACUGCGGGAAACUGUAGCUAAUACCGAAUACGACCCUCGGAGGCAUCUCCUGGGGGUGGAAAGAAUUUCGGUCAAGGAUGGACUCGCGGCCUAUCAGCUAGUUGGUGAGGUAAAGGCUCACCAAGGCGACGACGGGUAGCCGGCCUGAGAGGGUGACCGGACACACUGGGACUGAGACACGGCCCAGACUCCUACGGGAGGCAGCAGUGGGGAAUAUUGCACAAUGGGCGCAAGCCUGAUGCAGCAACGCCGCGUGAGGGAUGACGGCCUUCGGGUUGUAAACCUCUUUUAGCAGGGAAGAAGCGAAAGUGACGGUACCUGCAGAAAAAGCACCGGCUAACUACGUGCCAGCAGCCGCGGUAA
rnacentral:rRNA from 1 species